AAAUUGAGAUCGGCGGAAUUUGAGCUCAGAACAUAAAAGACCAGAAGAAACACUGCAUGGCCUAAAUAAUUGCUAUUAAUUUUAGUACGAUGCUAUAAUUUCGUUUCGGUACUUAAAGCAAACCAAUGCAUGUUUUAUACAUUCCCCAUUACAGGUUAUCGACAAGGGAACCUGUUUUCAUGGAUGUUUGUGGGGACAGAUAUUCUCUUGUUUGAAAUUAUUGACUUUUCUUGGUGAAUUUCUACUUGUGUAUCAAAACUGAUGAAGAAAGGACUAUAUGGAAGAUAACGAGUGAGAGUAAAUCAUUAUCAGAUGACAUCUGCUUCACAGGAUUUUUACAUAAGCAACGUCAUUGGAAUGGAAAGUCUUUUGAAGACUGAGCAAAAAAGAUGUUAUACAAAACACGUAUAACCCUGUUUCUAUAAAUAUUUACUGAAUUACUGCAAAAUAUAUCUUCUGAACUCUGACAUAUAUGUAGCAAAAUUUCUCUUCUUUAUUGUCUGGAAUACACAGAAAAUUAUAUUUGCAUAUUAAUUAAUCGUUUAGCAUUAAACCUGGCCGUAUCAGUCCCAAACGUUCAAGCUAUUUUACGUUAAAACUGCCCACAUCUGGCCUCUUCCACUCACCCUGCAAUGUCAUUCUAAACAUAAGGAAUCACAUCAUUGAAAUCUUAAAGCAAUAAGAUAAUAAAUGAUUAAUUCAGAAGAAUUUGAAUAAAUAAUCAUUACAUUUGACAGAGUAAUCUGAAUGUUAAUGAGUUAAAGCAAUUAAGAAGUCAGUUUGCAGCAUCUUCAGAUAUUAACAAAGAUCACUUUUGAUGGAGAUAUACCAGUAGAAAUAUUUAUUAAGAGUAAUAUACGAGAAGAAGGAAAACAUUUGUGUACUGUGACGAGAGAAAGGAAAAUGAUGGAAAAUGAAUUAUAUCUGAGUGAAGUUAAAUGUAAAAGAGAGUCUGAAGAAAUUGACUUUUCUGAUGAGGAAAAGAAUGAAAAGGGCAAAACAGCAUUUGAGUGUGAUAUCUGUGGUAAAAUAUUAUCUCAGAAAGGUAGCUUAGUUAUUCACCGACGUAUUCAUACAGGAGAGAAGUCAUAUCACUGUGACGUUUGUGGUAAAUCAUUUUUUGAUACUCAUCAUUUAACUAUUCACAAACGCAUUCAUACAGGAGUGAAAUCAUAUCGCUGUGAUAUCUGUGGUAAAUCCUUCUCUCAAAGUUAUAACUUAACUAGGCACAAAUACAUUCAUACAGGAGAAAAACGAUAUCACUGUGAUAUCUGUGGUAAAUCCUUCUCUGAAAUUAGUAAAGUAACUAUUCACAAGCGUGUUCAUACAGGAGAAAAACCAUGUCACUGUGAUAUUUGUGGUAAAUCAUUCUUUGAUAAAAGUUACUUAACUAGACACAUACGUAUUCACACAGGUGAAAAGCCAUAUCAGUGUGAUAUCUGUGGUAAAUCUUUCUCUGAAACUAGUCCCUUAACUAUGCACAAGCGUACUGUUCACACAGGAGAAAAACCACAUCGCUGUGAAAUCUGUGGUAAAUCAUUCUCUCAAAAUAAUGCCUUGACUAUUCACAAACGCAUUCAUACAGGAGAGAAGCCAUAUACAUGUGAUAUCUGUGGUAAAUCGUUCUCCAGAAGCUAUGCCUUACCUCGUCACAGACGCAUUCAUACUGAAGUGAAGCCAUAUCAUUGUGAUAUCUGUGCUGAAUCAUUCUCUGAAAGUGGUAGCUUAACUAAGCACAAGCGUAUUCAUACUGAAGAGAAACCAUAUCAUUGUGAUAUCUGUGGUGAAUCAUUCUCCGAUGGACACAAGUUAACUGUUCACAAAUACAGUCAUUCAGGCGUGAAGCCAUAUCACUGUGAAAUCUGUGGUAAAUCAUUCUCUGACAAUGGUCACUUAACCAAGCACAGGCGUGUUCAUACAGGUGAGAAGCCAUAUCAUUGUGAUAUCUGUGGUAAAUCUUUCUCUGAAACUGGUAGUGUAACUAACCACAAACGUGUUCAUACAGGUGAGAAGCCAUAUCAUUGUGAUACCUGUGGUAAAUCAUUCUCUACAUCCAGUAUCUUAUGUAAGCACAGACGCAUUCAUACUCCUGAGAAGCAAUAUCACUGUGAUAUCUGCGGUAAAUCUUUCACUGAAUCUGGUAGUGUGACAAAUCACAAACGUAUUCAUACAGGUGAGAAGCCAUAUCACUGUGAAAUCUGUGGUAAAUCUUUCACUGAAUCAGGUAGUGUAACUACUCACAUGCGUGUUCAUACAGGAGAGAAGCCAUACCAUUGUGAUAUCUGUGGUAAAUCCUUCUCUACAUGCAGUGUCUUAACCAGGCACAAGCGUGUUCAUACAGGAGAAAAACCAUAUCACUGUGAUAUCUGUGGUAAAUCUUUCUCUGGUAGUAUAACUACUCACCAGCGCAUUCAUUCAGGCGUGAAGCCAUAUCAUUGUGAUAUCUGUGGUAAAUCAUUCUCUCGAAAUUAUCACUUGACUCUGCACAGACGCAUUCAUACAAGAGAAGUCAUAUCACUGUAAUGCCUGUAAGAAUCGUUUUCUGAAAUAGCACGUUAACUGGUCACAAACGUUUACAUACAGAGGAGAAGCCAUAUCAUUGUGACAUGUAUGACAAAUUAUUCUCUUGAAAUGAAUAAUUUAACUAAACCAAAAAACUCUGAUACAAGAGAGAAACCAUAUCACUGUGAUAUUUGUGGUAAAUCAUUUUCUCAAAGUGGUUCUUUGACUAGUCACAAACGUAUUCAUACAGGAGAGAAGCCAUAUCAUUGUGAUAUCUGUGGUACAUCAUUCUCUGUAAGUUGUCAUUUGACUAGGCACAGACGUAUUCAUACAGGAGAGAAGCCAUUCCAUUGUAAGAUCUGUGGUGAAUCAUUUUCUAGAAAUAAUCACUUGACUGUUCACAAACGUGUUCAUACUGGAGAAAAACCAUAUCAGUGUGAUAUCUGUGGUAAAUCAUUUUCUGUAAAUAGCACUUUAACUAGUCACAAGCGUAUUCAUACAGGAGAGAAGCCAUAUCAGUGUAAUAUCUGUGGGAAACCAUUCUCU
rnacentral:misc_RNA from 1 species